UCGAAGCCUUUUUCAGAAAAUGGCAGCCACAGGUGACGAGGAGGCGUCGGCUGAUAGUUUUUAUCAGCUACUAACCGAAAUGGUACAAAAAUUGUUCUUUGAAAAAGACAUAUCUGAUGAAACACUAAAGGGCAAGCUUUACCCAUCAAUGCCAGAUGCGGAAUUCGCGAAGCUGGUAUCGAAAUGCAGCUCAAUACUGAAGACGCUUCAGGCAACUGACGACGCUCAACUAGAAGCUUUGCUGUCGUCUCUCCAAGCUGCGUCAUCUACGUCAAGCAGAACAAUCAGCAGAGCAUUGAGCCCUGCAGAAGCACAGGCAGUACGUCGUCUCUGGAAGACACACAGGGGAGCCCUGCGCCAAGCUCUAUUAGACAAAGUACGGUGGAACGGGGGCGCCCCCGUUCAGACGACCUGGCAACAAAGAGACACUGGGGCUCCUAUCCAGUGGGCACUUAGCCCAAGCCUACACCUUCAGCUGGAGGAAGACGACGUAAGACGUUUAGUGCACGAAGUCCGUUCUAUACGCCGCGCAUUGCGUUGUGCACAGGGAAGUGGAGAAUAAACAUCGUGUAACACAGCAAUGUGCACUCCACUGCAAUCAUCUCCCCAGCAAAGACGACAAAAAGUCGAGCGUAACUUUUGAACUGUUUUUCUUCUUUUCUUUGUGCCACAUGCACAGACAUACACACAGUUGCAUGGCGAUAAAAUAGAAUUCCCGUUCGUCACCACCUGGGCAGUUCAAACAUAUAACUCGCCCAAUGGCAACACUGACCCACCGGAAGCUGGGCGGCAGGAAAGAAAAAGCUUUGAUUGUUACAUACUUGUUGUCCGAGCUUUUUGUGCUUUAUUUGACAGAGCCGAGAAACCUUGCGCUGUAUGAUAUGUGGAAUUCCUCCCUAGGAUAGUCCAAGGUUAAUGGGGGUUUAAUGGGACUGCCCGACGGGUUACACCACACAUCUUGCGACCCAGAAGCCCAACCAUAAACACAACUGCAACAGGAAUGUACACGGGGGCUACGGGGCUAAGAGGCUGCCCGUACCCUGGCAUCAUAGUCCAAUACCAAGCGCUUGAUGUGGGCCAGUUUAUCGUGCAGGUAUUGAAGCUUGCGCCGAGCUUCUUGGUACCGUUUGUCCUUGAGAUUUUGCUGGUAUUCCUGCAUGAUUUGCUCCCGCACACGCUGGAAGAGAUAACGCCGUCCAAAUGCAUUACUUGAGGGCAUUCAGAUGUUAAUCCAUGUUGCUUGCUAUGGGGUUUCAACCUUUACGACAACCAACAUAUGCCAACCAAUGUGGUAAACUCACAUGCCACUGGUCAGAUCCCUCUUGUGCUUGACGCAGAUUAUCCUCGAGAUCCGAAAAGCGCCGAGACACCUGUUCCACAGUAGAGUGUAAUGUCUUGUAUUCGUGGUACUCCGCAUUGAAGUCUGCCUUGUAGCGGGCACGCUGGUCAGGAUUUGUUAUCGUUACGUACUUCCUGUAAUGAUUAAGAAACAAGGAACCUUGCAUUGGUACUUUGGCAAAGGUACUUUGCAUCGACAUCAUCCGUAUUUCAUCUUCAAAAUCAUACUGAAAGAAUGUUUAAAAGCAAGCAGGCAAACAAACUCGAGACUUGAAUUGCUGGCUAAC